GACGAACGCUGGCGGCGUGCUUAACACAUGCAAGUCGAACGAUGAAGAAGAGAAACGCGAACUUCGGUUCAAAUUUCACUUCGGAUUAGUGGCAGACGGGUGAGUAACGCGUGAGCAACCUACCUCUUACAAAGGGAUAGCCUCGGGAAACCGUGAUUAAUACCAUAUGACACAUUCAUAAGGCAUCUUAAGAAUGUUAAAGCUACGGCGGUAAGAGAUGGGCUCGCGUCCCAUUAGCUAGUUGGUGAGGUAACGGCCCACCAAGGCGACGAUGGGUAACCGGCCUGGGAGGGGGAACGGUCACAUUGGAACUGAGACACGGUCCAAACUCCUACGGGAGGCAGCAGUGGGGAAUAUUGCACAAUGGAGGGAACUCUGAUGCAGCGACGCCGCGUGAGAGAUGAAGGAAUUCGUUUCGUAAAGCUCUGUUCUAUGGGAAGAAAAGGACUGUACCAUAGGAGAAAGCCCCGGCUAAAUACGUG
rnacentral:rRNA from 1 species